CUGGGGGCUUGGUGCCGGUGGGGGCUCGCCCGGGGCCCGGGCCUCGGCCGGAGGGCUGUUUGGGACGGAGGUCAGCAGCAAUGGCCGUCCCUGGGGGCUUCUGCAGCUGGAGCCUGCGGAAGAUGCGGAAGGAGGGCAAAGAAACAAAAGACAGACAGUUUCAGAAUCUCCCUGGGCACUGAGCCCGAGUCGUGCAUCCUCAGAGGUGGAUGAGCCUGAGGAUGAGACCUUGGCACAGACAAUCAAACCGAGGCAGACAAACUGAGGUGUGGUGCCCCGUCCUCCAGGACGGGGCCUCUAAGGGCCACCCUCCCCCACCCCAUGCCCCCACCCCCCCACCCGGGCUGCUAACAAAAGAACUUGCUGCAUGCUUUCUCUGAUGUCUCUGUUUCAUCUUUACAUUCUACUGUAUUAUAUACGCGUGCUUAUAUUAAUAUGGGUCAUGUUUUCUCCCAACUAUUCUAGCCUUUAUCUUUGAGCCUUAAAUGCCCCGUGGCACACCAGAGACUGUGUGUGGACCCCACUAUCCCCCAUCAACCUUUCCCAAGCCUGCCUCCUUGACAUCCCUCCAGACACUUCCUUGAGCCCAGUGCCAGGGCUGGGACCCAAGUCAGAAGAGAGACUUGGUUGGGGAGGUGUGGCUGAAUUAUCAGUAUCCCUUGCCUCCAGGAAAGCCUCCCCUGGAGGAAGCUUUCUGUGGUCACCCUCUGCCACCCCACCACCACCACCCACCCCCCUGGGACUGGCAGCGGUUUCUCACCUGCUGGUGAUGGCUGUGUCAGAUGCUGGGGCCGCACCUUGGGGUCUGUCGGGGGGCUGCUGGGCUGUAGCAGGCGUGGGCAUGCGGACGCUAAUGGGGCGGGGGAUCCGGCUCCUGGUGGCAGCUGCCCGCCCGGCUUUCCUGGGCACCGCAGGCUCGGAGGCAGGCGUGUCCUCCUCAGAGCCUGUGCCUGAGAGAGUCUCAGAGGCACGGCGUUGCUCCUCGCUGGAAGAAGACGAGGCCCCAGAGGCCAGGCGCAGUAGCAGGCGGCCCUGCCUCUUUUCCAUCACCAGCCGUGCCAGGUCUUGCUGCGGUCGGGCCCGCUUGCCCCACCGCUCUUUGGCCGACAGUGAGCCGGAGGGCUCCGAGCCCGUGUCCUCCUCAGACAGCAGGACGGGGAUUCGGCUCCUGGGGCGGGGGCCUGGCACGGCGUGGCGACUAGGAGAGAUGGUGGCCAGUUUUUCGGGGCCUGGCUCCAGCAGGGACACGGGAGUGGGCCCAUCAGCCAGGGCUGGGCCGUUGGGCAGUGAGUCUGUGGCCACCACCAAGGGGCUGCUCCCUGGGAGUACUGACGGGACACAGCUCUCCAGCCCUGACAGGGCAAUGCCAUUCUCCAAGUGUGCGGAGGCCCCUUCCUCCGCCACCCUCCCAUCAGAGGGCACCUCCAGGCCCAGCUCGCCCCCAGAGCUGAGCUCCUCAGACCGGGAGGCUUGUCCACCAGAAGACAUGACAUUGAGGUGGGUUUUCUCCGCAAUGUGCACAAAGGUCCUCUCGACUUUGGUGAAGGGUGAGGAGGUGACUGCCACUCCCCCUGCCCCCAUGGCCACCGCUCCCGUCCCCUGCCCUGCCCCAGGCCCGGGGGGCUUGGGCUCGGACUUGAGGACGGAGGACAGGGUGCCUGGCUCCGACACAUCCAGCUGGCUGCCAGUGGGCUGGGGCCGCUCCUGCUGUGGGGUGAGGGCGGCCAGAGUGCCCAGGUCGGGGUCAGGGGCCAGGUCAGCAGUGACGGGCGACUUCUUCAUGUCACCAGGGGAGACGAGCACCAGCGUUUUGGAGCCCUCCUCAGGCUCCAGGUCCCCGUCAGCCAUCGAGGCCCGGCCCCUGGACUCUUUCUGGUCGUCGGCCAGCAGUGUGGAAGGCGCGCCCUCCUGGCUCCGGUCUGUGCUCCUCUCACUGCGCUCGCUGCUGGAGCCGCUGUGUGGCCCCAGAACCUCCCCCAGGGCCACUGCCUCCUCCUCCUCCUCCUCUUCAUCUUCCUCCUCCUCCUCCUCUUCUUCUUCCUCCUCUUCCUCCUCUCCUUCCCAUUUGUUUGAGGCUGAGCAGGAGCCAGUGGGACCUGGGGAGGUGUGA
rnacentral:lncRNA from 1 species